rnacentral:rRNA from 1 species
UACAGAGGGGGCGAGCGUUGUUCGGAAUUACUGGGCGUAAAGGGCGCGUAGGCGGCCUGCUAUGUCGAACGUGAAAUCCCCGGGCUCAACCCGGGAACUGCGUCCGAAACUGGCAGGCUCGAAUCCGGGAGAGGGAUGUGGAAUUCCAGGUGUAGCGGUGAAAUGCGUAGAUAUCACUUGGAACGCCAAAGGUGAAGACAGUCUGCUGGGGAUCUGCUGACGCUGAGACACGAAAGCGUGGGGGAGCGAACAGG